rnacentral:rRNA from 1 species
UAUGACGUAGCAAUACAGAUGAUGGCGACCGGCGGAUGGGUGAGUAACACGUAUGCAACCUACCUUUAACACGGGCAUAACUCGAAGAAAUUCGUGCUAAUUCCCGAUAAAACAGGGGCGCCGCAUGGCGAUAUUUGUUAAAGAUUAAUCGGUUAAAGAUGGGCAUGCGUUCCAUUAGCUAGUUGGUGAGGUAACUGCUCACCAAGGCAACGAUGGAUAGGGGGACUGAGAGGUUUAUCCCCCACACUGGAACUGAGACACGGUCCAGACUCC